GGGGACGUAGCUCAGCAGGAUAGAGCGCAGGGCUCCGGACCCUGAGGUCGCGGGUUCGACUCCCGCCGUCCCCA
rnacentral:tRNA from 1 species